CAUACUUUUCCCUUUGACGACGACGAUGAUGAUCAUCAACACAAAUUUUGACGCGUUCAUAUCCUUUAAACCUACCUCUCCGUUUCUCCCGGUCUAAUUGCGUAACCGAAAUGAGCGGAGGAGCCAUUUCGAUCCAUUCCGCUAAAGAAGCCGUGUUUGGACUCGCCUGUGGCGGCUCCCCACCACCGCCCUCCUCGAUCGCGUCGCCCCGGCCGCACGAUGGGUGGGCCCCGUCGUCCUCCGUCGCCGCAAUCUCGCCAACGCGCUCGGCUCCUCCCGGUGCCGCCGGAGCCCUGAUCUUGGAUCUGAGCGACCGGAGCGGGCGCGGAAGGCGAUUGGAUCGGAGACCGUGUUGGAUGAUUCAUCUCUUUCUUCCUAUGGAGGUCUCUCCAUCUUUGGCAGUGGGGAUGUUUCAUGGCUUCUGGUUUGCUGUUGUAGGGAACCAUGCAAUGGAUAAGUGACAUAGGAGCUGAUUGCAGGUGUUUAAAAUAUGCUGCCAUAGGGAGAAGAUAUGAGAUUCUAGUAGGCUAAUGGACUGAUGUGGCCAAUUCUGAGCGCCAUGCUUCGAUGGCAGACAUGCUUCUUGAUGCAUAUUAUAAGUUUUUUCUUUUUUAAAAAAAUCAAGUAAAAGGAAGGAGGGACUUGGUCCAUUAUAUUUUAUUCAAAGAACACAGUACACAGGUACACAAAGAAUAGUCUGAAACAUGAAAACGAGAAGAGAAGGAUGACAAGAGGUAAGACAUCAACCAUGUCACCCAAAGAUGCUAUCAGAGUUUAGGCAUGCUGGUUUCUCUCUCUCUCUCUCUCUCUCUCUCUGUGUGUGCAGGCUGUCUUCGUAGGUGAGUCCAUGGAAGGAGAUGGUGGGAAGAUGGACUGAGAACUCAAAAGUGCAGUCACUCGUGAAGAAUGAAUGGGUAUCGGACUUGCAGGUAUCCUUGCUCGAGUACAUGGAACCAUUCAACCAAGGCAAAGUUUACUGCUUUGAAGUAGCACACUGGUAGUUGUGCAGGAAAAGGGCAGUGGUAAGUCAUAUGGUCUGUAGCUUGGAGAGGACCACAGGGAUGGGGGUGGGGGGGGCGGCGAGGUGGUGGCGGUGUCUGUGAGGUCUGGCUCAGCAUCAAUUAACAGUUGGUGACAGGUAGUAAGGGAGCAUCAACCAAUAUUGGACUUGUCUUAGGGGAAUUAAAUUAUUAAACUAUAGAUAACAGGCGUCAGACGUACAACAGUACUGCAAGCCGUUGAUGCGUUGUCACUGGCACACGAUACACAACACGUCAGAUAGAGUGACCUUUUUUUUUCGUGUUAAAAGAAUAAUAAAAAAACAUUAUUUAUCGCUUUUUUUUCUUUUUUUUUUGUUAGACCUUCCGAUCAUAAACUUAGAAAAUAGCACGAGGAUUCAAUUUAUUUUGGUAUACAUGAAUCGUUGAUUCCUCAAACAUGUUUAUAUCGUAGUUGGGCAAAUGUGCUGGAAAUCCAAAAGCCCUCCAACUGUGGCACUGAGUGGUGACAUGAAUCAGCCUUUCCCACCUCCCUGAAUUCCCUCGUCCGCCCCUCUUUAGGUCUACA